CCAACACAUUCUCCUUCCUUGUGUUUUCUGCUGCAGGUGGAUACCCUGCGUCAUGUUAUCAAUCAGACGGGAGGAUACAGUGACGGUUUGGGAGGAAAUUCACUGUACAGUCCACAUAAUUUAAAUGCAAAUGGAGGCUGGCAGGACGCGACCACUCCAUCUUCUGUGACUUCUCCAACAGAAGGGCCGGGAAGCGUGCACUCCGAUACCUCUAACUAAUCUCCCAACAAGUCUUUCCUCUCUCCACCCCACUACUCCCUCUUCCCCUCCUUGCCCCGCAAUGCGCUGAGAUGCCUUCUCCGUUCGUCCGUCAUCCCAGAAGGGAAAGACAAGAAAAAAAGAGGGGAAAAAAAACCCACCCCAAAAGAAAUUUUUUCUCAGCCCAUCACGGAGAACCCUUUUUCUUUUUCCUGCACCACCUUGUCGGACAGCAAAAUUUGGGCUCCCUUUUUUUUCACACACCCCACCCUCUCCGGAAGGUGUGAUUUGAAACCUUUAUACUUCAAACUCGCCGAGAGGCGCGCCCUCACUCCAUAUUAAGGAAAACAAAACAUAAAAUAAAAAUAAACCACCAAGCACUUUAUCCAGCUGAGGGGCCAAGAUGGCGCAUGGUUUUGUUGCCCUCCAGCGGAUUCUUAAAAAGAUGGCCGCCUUCUGGUUAUUGGCUUCUUGGCUUGAAGAGGUCAUCGGAAGACUUUAUCCUUAAGAAUAAACUCAAGUUUUAUCCGCACCAGGCUGAGCUGGUGACGGGUGAGUGGCUGGGUGGGGAGAAAAGCUGGGAGACUUAUUCACCCUCCACCCAAUUUCCACCGCCAUUGGAAGGGAGUUGGCCAACCUUUAGUUGUGCCCAGUUUUUCAGAGCGGGGCGAAACUGUGUUGUUUUUUUUUUCUCAACGCUUCCUUGCUUUUCUGCUGAUAUUUGUCGGGGCUCUCUCUUUUCCACCGAGGGUUGUUUUAUUCCUUUUGAACCUUCGCAACCGAUGAUAGCACAGUCCUCUUCUCCUCCUGGUGCGUCGUCCGGCACAGACAAUCCGUGCGAGGCGGAGACACUGGCUUUUGACAUUUGCAAAUAUAUAUAUAUCUACAUCUAUACAUAUAUAUAUAUAUAUAUAAACCCGGUUGCCAAGUCCACGUUGAGUUGCAUCCGCCGAGGUUUUGGCCACCGCUCCUUCGCGUUGGCUGAUUGGGGGCACUGUUCUCCGGAGUGUUGUACAUAGUGUAGCUAAAAAGAAUAUUUAUACAUCUCACCAAUCAAAACACAGCUUUAUUACCUCAUGCGAACUCAUGCGAACCAAUAGAAUCAUUCUUUAGCUUAGAGUGCUCACUACUACCUCUAAACCAGCCUUCCUUCAACCUGGGAUUCUCACGAUGUCGUAGACCGAUCAGCUGUCACCAUCACUGGUCAGCCACGUCUUUCUUCUGGGGCUGAUGGGAAUUGUAGUCCAACACACCCAGAGGGUGCUGGGUUGAGGAAGCCUGCUCUAAACAAUACUCACGCUGUACUUUCUUUCUUUCCCCCCCUUCCUCUUUAAUCUCUUCCCUCCUUUAUUUUUCGACCGUUUAUUUUUUACCAUCUUGUAACCAACUCUUUUCAAUUCUUUCCUCCAUGUAACUGUACAUUGUAAUCUUUUAAAUAAUAAGGAAAAAGAAAACGUUUUUUUUUAAAAAAAAAAAAAAGGAAAAAAAGAAAAAAGGAGAAAAAAAAAAUUCCAGGUUGCGUUGAUGACUUUUGAAAAAAGAAAAAAAGAACCUGAUUCUAUAUAUAAAUAUAAAUAUAUAUAUACAUAUAUAUAUAUAUAUAUAUAUAUUAAAAAAAAAAACCACCCGGACACCCUUUGAAGCUUUGAAAUAGAAAUUUUGAGUUUCGACGCUAAGCAGUCAAACUGUUUGUAAAUACGGAGAAACAUUUUGAAUGUUCUUUCAUCCUGUUACGAUCUUAAUUCACGCGAAAGAAGAAGAAGAAGAAAGAAGAAGAGAAAAAAAACAAAAACUGAAGCCGAUAAUGGAUUGUAAAGGAGAUCGCGUUCUUGAUAUUCAAUAUAUUUCACCCUGUAUAAUUAGGGAAAGGGGUGGGUGGGUGCCGUUUAAUUUUUCUUUCUUUCUUUUUUUUUUCUUUCCUUCUUUCUUUCUUAAUUUUUUUCCCCCCUCUUUUAUAUAGUAUGUGAUUCUGAAGCUGAUUGGCUGAAUUGCAAAAAAACAAAAAAACAAAAAAAAGUGGCAGUGAUUCUAAUUGUAUUAAACCGUUUGGUGUUACUUUCUAACUGGAUUACACCCUGAACUGAAGUCUUCCCUUGUGAUAGUUCUAUGUAGUCUGGAACCAUGAAUAAAACUUUUUCCUUUCAUGAGAUCAAA